rnacentral:tRNA from 1 species
AGAGAGCUGUCCGAGUUGGUUGAAGGAGCGCGACUCGAAAUCGCGUAGGCGUUCAUAGCGUCUCAAGGGUUCGAAUCCCUUGCUCUCUG